rnacentral:lncRNA from 1 species
GCGCCUCGCCUGGCCUGGCCGCUGCCGCGGGCGAGCACUGUGCGCUGGGCAGCCCCGGGCCCGCGCCUCCCGCCCAGCCGGCGCUUCCCGGUCGCAGUUCGCUUUCCCACCCGAGAGCCGCGAGCGCCCGGCCGAACCCGCGAUGGAAUAAUGCCCAGCGGCCCGCCAGGUCCCGGUCGUUUUCUGAUGUGACGGCUGAGACAUGAGAUCUUCAGCCUCCAGGCUCUCCAGUUUUUCGUCGAGAGAUUCACUAUGGAAUCGGAUGCCGGACCAGAUCUCUGUCUCGGAGUUCAUCGCCGAGACCACCGAGGACUACAACUCGCCCACCACGUCCAGCUUCACCACGCGGCUGCACAACUGCAGGAACACCGUCACGCUGCUGGAGGAGGCUCUAGACCAAGAUAGAACAGCCCUUCAGAAAGUGAAGAAGUCUGUAAAAGCAAUAUAUAAUUCUGGUCAAGAUCAUGUACAAAAUGAAGAAAACUAUGCACAAGUUCUUGAUAAGUUUGGGAGUAAUUUUUUAAGUCGAGACAACCCCGACCUUGGCACCGCGUUUGUCAAGUUUUCUACUCUUACAAAGGAACUGUCCACACUGCUGAAAAAUCUG